rnacentral:lncRNA from 1 species
ACGAGCGUUUUCUUCCUUUCGCUUCUUUGCUCCUUGAUUCGCCAUCUUAGGAUUCUUCUAAAACGAUGUCGUAUUCUGAUCUAGAAGCCAAAUUAAAACCCUAAGUUUGGAAUUGAAUUGUACGAAAUUGAAUUACUAGAGAUGGGAGGGUGAAGAAGGAGGAGAAAGAAGCUGACCCGAUUUUAAUUUUUAAUUAAGUUCUGUUUGGAUGAGCCAACUUCAUUUCAGAGCCUAAUCUGGGGGGG